rnacentral:rRNA from 1 species
AGUGAACGCUGGCGGUAGGCCUAACACAUGCAAGUCGAACGGCAGCACAGUAAGAGCUUGCUCUUACGGGUGGCGAGUGGCGGACGGGUGAGGAAUACAUCGGAAUCUACUUUUUCUUGGGGGAUAACGUAGGGCAACUUACGCUAAUACCGCAUACGACCUACGGGUGAAAGCAGGGGAGCUUCGGACCUUGCGCGAGUGAAUGAGCCGAUGUCGGAUUAGCUGGUUGGCGGGGUAAAGGCCCACCAAGUGGACGGUCCGUAGCUGGUCUGAGAGGAUGAUCAGCCACUCUUGAGCUGAGACACGGUCCAGACUCCGACGGGAGGCACCGGUGGGGAAUAUUGGGCAGGGGGCGCAAGCCUGUCCCAGCCAUUCCGCGUGGGUGAAGAGGGCCUUCGGGUUGUAAAGCCCUUUUGUUUGGAAAGAAAAGAAUCAGGUUAAUACCCCGCUGUUCUGACGGUACCCAUAGAAUAAGCACCGGCUAACUUCUU